rnacentral:ribozyme from 1 species
CUUUCAACAAAGUUUUGAGAACCUCAAAAAAAAAAAAAAAAAAAGCUUAACAGAAGGUGCCACAGAAUUGCGGACAUAUGCAUGUAGAUUCGAAAAAACAAUUUU